UGGGGAAUAUUGGACAAUGGGCGAAAGCCUGAUCCAGCCAUGCCGCGUGUGUGAAGAAGGUCUUCGGAUUGUAAAGCACUUUAAGUUGGGAGGAAGGGCAGUAAGCGAAUACCUUGCUGUUUUGACGUUACCGACAGAAUAAGCACCGGCUAACUCUGUGCCAGCAGCCGCGGUAAUACAGAGGGUGCGAGCGUUAAUCGGAUUUACUGGGCGUAAAGCGUGCGUAGGCGGCUAAUUGAGUCGGAUGUGAAAUCCCCGAGCUUAACUUGGGAAUUGCAUUCGAUACUGGUUAGCUAGAGUGUGGGAGAAGAUGGUAGAAUUCCAGGUGUAGCGGUGGAAUGCGUAGAGAUCUGGAGGAAUACCGAUGGCGAAGGCAGCCAUCUGGCCUAACACUGACGCUGAGGUACGAAAGAAUGGGGAGCAAACAGG
rnacentral:rRNA from 1 species